GAGUUUGAUCGUGGCUCAGAUUGAACGCUGGCGGCAUGCCUAACACAUGCAAGUCGCGCGGAGUGUAGCAAUACACUUAGCGGCGGACGGGGUGAGGAAUACAUAGGAAUUUGCCCUUAAGCGGGGGGUAGCCCGGGGAAACUCGGAGUAAUACCGCAUGAUGUCGAAAGACCAAAGCCGGGGACCGCAAGGCCUGGCACUUUUGGAGAAGCCUAUGUCCGAUUAGCUAGUUGGUAGGGUAAUGGCCUACCAAGGCGACGAUCGGUAACUGGUCUGAGAGGACGAUCAGUCACACCGGAACUGAGACACGGUCCGGACUCCUACGGGAGGCAGCAGUGGGGAAUAUUGGACAAUGGGCGCAAGCCUGAUCCAGCAAUGCCGCGUGUGUGAAGAAGGCCUU
rnacentral:rRNA from 1 species